rnacentral:rRNA from 1 species
GACGAACGCUGGCGGCGUGCCUAAUAUAUGCAAGUAGAACGCACAGUUUAUACCGUAGCUUGCUUCACCAUAAAUUUUGAGUUGCGAACGGCUGAGUAACUCGUAGGUAACCUGCCUGGUAUCGGGGGAUAACUAUUGGUAACGAUAGCUAAUACCGCAUAAUCUUGAUUAUUGCUUGAUACUUGAUUGAACGAUGCUAUUGCAUCACUCCCACAUGGACCUGCGUUGUAUUAUCUACUAGGUGAGGUAACGGCUCACCUAGGCGGCGAUACAUCGCCGACCUGAGAGGGUGAUAGGCCACGAUGGGAAUAAGAAACGGCCCAGACUCCGACGGGAGGGAGCAGUAGGGAAUCUUAGGCAAUGGACGAAAGUCUGACCGAGCAACGCCGCGUGAGUGAAGAAGGGUUUCGGAUCGGAAAGCUCUGUUGUAAGAGAAGAACGGGAGUGAGAGUGGAAAGUGAACAAUGUGACGGUAUCUUACCGGAAAGGGACGGCUAACUACGAG